AGCUAAUUCAGAAGUGUGCACUCAUACUCUGUUUUGUGUCGUACACAGAUCACAGCAUGGGGUUUAAGCACUGUAUUGCUUUGUCUCAGUAAAGAGACGGUAAGAACCAAAUGCAGUUAACUAUUUAAAUGUUUGUAUUACAUUUAUUUUUAGAGUACAGACCAAUACAGAAUGUCAGGUCCUGUGAAAGAUACAUUCCUCACAGAACUAUGUGUGCCAGGUAGGAAGCACAGGGGCAGGAGUUUAUACUUUAUUGUAAAGUGCUUAAGAAGUUCAUAAUUUGCCCAGAAAUCUGAAAGUCAAAAAUUAGCUUUUUCUAUCUGAUGCAGAAACAGAAGAGAGGGGCAGUGGGGGAAGUUACUAAUGUUGAGUGUACAUUAACAAGAGGAAGGUGCAAUGGAGCCUUAAGAAUGGCACAUUUCAUUUCAUAUGUUCCAAUUUAUUUGCUUAAUCCAGCUCUUCGCUAGAGAGACCAUGCCUCCAACACAGAAUGUAUAUAUCAGAAUUCAGUAUUAAAAAGGAUCUUAUAUCUCACCUCCUGAGGCGUUUAUAAUUGUCAGUCAUCCUGCAGAUUUUACAGCUGAUAGGAAAAAGAGAACAGUUUAUUGUCUUACUGUGUCUUGAAGGUUUUAUGUGCCUAGACUCAUUAAACAAUGACCUUGUCAGAUAAGAGCUGAAAAACGGAGCAGAUCUAGCAGUCCUGCUGUAUGGUAUUUUAAACAAUAAGCUGUAAUAUUUAAUAAACGAAAUACACAGACUUCCAAGUGGCAGGAGAGAUAAGUAAUGGAAUAACUAGAAGUACAUCUGGUAGGAUAGUUUCUUCCCUUUCUGUCAUCUGUAAGGAAUGUUCCCAAGACAAUAAAUUUAGGAUUCAGCUGGAAAAAUGGUAAUUGUUUUCCACUCCUGUCAUCAGGAAACUGAAGACAGAGCAAAGUACUUAACUCCUUUUAUCACAACCACAGAUUGAAUGUGUAGCAUUCCCCACACCCCUCAUACCCGCAGAUUGUUUGCUUAGUGUUUGUAUUCAGGGAAUUUAACACUUUAGGAUAAGUAUAUGGACUGUACAGGCAACCUGAAUGUUCAUGAGUGUAAAAAAAUUACAGAAUUAUUACCUAGGGUUGACUGUAACUGCAUGUUAUGUUCUAUGCCCUUUAUUUCACUCAACAAGAUUACAGCUGACAAAAAAUUAGGACUGAGAGGGGGGUAUUCAAAGUUCGGGAGUAACUUUCCAGCUAUAAUAGUUCAGAUUCUGGAAAAUUCCAUCAAAUAUUUCAAGAAAAGAGAAACUCCUUUCCUCUCUGUGGAAACACUGAGGUUCAGUUGCCUAAUAAGAAGCAUCUGUUGUCUUCUUACACACUAAGCAGACUCCAGAUGCUGUUGCAAAAGGGCUUAGAACACCUGUAAGUCAUUUCAGAAUUUUCUUUUAAUUUAAUUUAAUUUCAUUUCAUUUCACUUCAUUCCUUGAUUUCUUACUUCAUGAAGAAUUUUAAUUUCAUGAAAGGAAAUGAAAUCUUGAGAUUUCCAUGAGUAUACUUUCACUAGCUUUUGGUUUAUUCCAUUCCAUUCCAUUCCAUUCCAUUCCAUUCCAUUCCAUUCCAUUCCAUUCCAUUCCAUUCCAUUCCAUUUUCUCUCCUGUCUUUUCAUUUCACUUCAUUCCUUCUUUUCUCAUCUCAUUUCCUUUCAUGAAAUGAAAAAUUUUCAUUAAAAAAUACAUGAAAUUUUGAGAUUUUCAUGAGUAUAAUUUCAUAGAGGUCAUUUCCCUAAACUUCCAUACGUUCCAUUGUGUUUAAUUGCUUUAAUUUCAGAAUUUUCAUUUUUUUCAGUUUCAUUUAAUUACUUUCUAUUUCCUUUCCUCUCUUUUUAUUUCAUUUAAUUUCAUUUCAUUUAUUGAUUUCUCAUUUUAUUUCCUCUUGUGAAAAUUCUUUGUUUGUAUGAAAGCAAAUGAUAUCUCAGGAUUUCCGUGAGUAUAAUUUCAUUAAGUUUCUGUUCAUUUCACUGCACUUCUGUUAAUUCCUUCCAUUUAAUUGUUGUCACUUCAUUCCAGAACUUUCUUUUGUUCACAUCACACUAACCUUUAAACAAGGUUGGGGCUGCAGCUGAGAUGCCCAGCCCCAUGCAUGGCCCUUAUCUGAAAAGUUUGGAGGCAGAACUGUUAUUUAAAAAGUCAAAUCUCUAAGGAGAGACAAGCCCUGCAGCUAGAAGGAGUCAUUGCAGAUCAUCUUGUCUUACUCUGGCAUGGUAGAGGCAGCUGGAUUUCACUAAUCAAGCCCACCACUUCUCACCAGUAGAAAGAUACCCAGCCUGGCUUUUGAAAUGGCAAAUGCCAAGGGAUCCACAGGCCAGCCUUCUCCUGUUUCCCUGAAAUCCUCAAGGCUGGCUUUGCAGUACUGGCUCUGGAAGUCUCCUGCUCUAGCAGCAGAGGCUGAUAGAGGCCCCCAUGUCUCAGGGAAAUGGAUGCUGCCACACCUUUGCACCUGAGCCCUAAGCCCUGAAGCUCAGUGACAGGAUCCAGUGUGCAUUCACCAAUUUCCUCUUCGCUCUUCAAGGUGCUGAAGUAAGGAAUAAAGAAGAUACCUGGGGUGA